UUGCCUAUUUUUUGGUGCCCCCACAGGAGUUGGUGCCCUACGCACAGCGCGUAGUGUGCGUUAUGGGAGUGGCGGCACUGCAUAAUUGGUAACCAGUGUCAAACUAGGCUUGACUACUGCUUGAGACUUGAAAAUUCAAUGAUUUGCGUCAUUUAUUUCUCAAAACUGUUAAGUAGACCUACCUAGUUUUUUUCGAUAGCAAACAAAUGAGAAAAAUAAGACAAUCUUUGUCGUUGCUGAAUAUAGGCUAUUUUUUUUAAGAUAAGCUCUGUUGUCUGCUCACGUGUUUAUGUUCCGUUUGUCUGCUCGUUACUGAGGUUAUAUGUAGCCUGCUAGGAAAGCAGAGAGUUCCCGGAUGACGCAGCACCAGAAUAUAAAAAAACUCCCCCUCCUGUUGAUGAGCAUCACUUCACCCUUGACUGGUCAAACUAACGAGAGAGUGGACGGGUUCUCAAAUCUGAAGACAACAUGAAGCGUGCUGUUCUCCUGACUCUGUGCUUGGCCCUCCUCGUGGAGGUGUGUGCUAAGGGGGGGAGAGGGGGUGGACGUAUUAGUUCGCCAAAAACCUCCUCCAAGUCCUCAUCCUCAUCUUCUUCUUCAUCUAAAGGAACCUCUUCCUCGACCGGGGGCAAGACAGGAUCAAGGCCAAAGUCCACUGAUUCCACCAGUAAUAAGCCUGUGAAAGAUGUGAGUGGGCGUGGAUGGGGGAGACAGUACCCAACCAAAAACAAUGAGCCAGGCGGGGCCAAAAGACAAGGUAACACUUACCCUUACUGGAACCCCAACAACAAGAUCAUGAGCCCUCGCUAUGGUGGGAACUACGCUUAUGGGGCCUAUGGCCAGGGUUAUGGUCAGGGCGGCUCCCCGUUCGCCCACAGUGUAGAAAGCAUGGGCUACAGACCCUCCAUCCAGUCCAAGGGCUUUGGCAAGCAGGCAGUGGUGGCAGCCGGUGCCGGGGCCGUGGGUGGCAUGGCUCUGGGCUACGGCCUGGGCAGUUUCCCGCGCCCCCACUUCAACUUCCACAGCCCCCAGGAGGAGUACCACUACAACCACUACAUGUAUCAACACUAUGGGUCCCAGGAGUCCCGCAACACCAACAAGCGCACGCAGACCCAUGGCAAAAGUAGCUCCGACAGUGGGAGUCAUCAAGGCGUCAGCAACAGCAGUUAUGGUGAUGAUGGUAACCAUCCUCCAGUUCUCCUUAAACCUCCACCACAGUCUUAUGACAAAUUUAUGGACACCUGUAUGAAGCGCAGUGAUUUGCUACAGUCCGAACGCACAAACAAUCAAACACAGCCCCCAAAGACGACCACGGUACAAACACCUUUAACCACGCCUGUGCCUAAGGACUUUGCCAGCCCUUCUCCACAAGGGAAGAAAAGGGUAGGGCAAGAAAAUGAGACAGAGCAGAAGGGAGCUGAGAAGGAACAGGACCAUGACGAGGUGGUCAGCAUCCUGGAGAUUGGCUAUCCAGCUCUGAUUGAGCAGCUCAAGGCUCGCGAAUGCAUGAAGACCUACAUGUUCUACACUCACAGCAUUGCGGAGAAACAGUGGAAGGAUGCUUACGGUCAUGGAGCCAAGCCUGUGGGGAUAGACUUCAUUAGCAUUUCUCUCUUAUACCUGAUUGGUUCUCUUCUCUUCUACUGAGAGACCAGGAUCAUGGGAAGUCGGGGCCCUAUCAGAUGCAGCAAAGAAAGACUGUGAUUGCAUCAGCUCUGGAUUCGUGCUCAUGCAAGUACCUCAGCAUGAAAAAUAUUUAGUAGUAACCCCAUGAGCACCUUCUUAUUAACUUCCUAAAUCAGUGCAUGUAACAAUGCCAUAUGUCACAUAUAUCAUGUAUAAUGUAACUACUCUUGAUGAGACUGUCAAAGCAGGGCAAAGAAGAAAUCUGUGAAACAACGUGUGCCUACCCAAGGACUCGGCUCAAGACUGGAGCACAGGGACGGACUGAAAUAUCAAUGACGUAAUGACAGGAGAGUGCAUGUCCCAGGAUGAUUGUGAGACUGCAGACUGGAAGGGUGGAGGUUUUUCCCGACACUCAGAGGAAAUGGUUCUGGCAGGACUAAGUGAGGCGAUCCGGAAAUGCGAUUGAAAUGUUUUUCAUGCAACCAUUUGUGCUCUGUUAUAGAAAAUGAGUGUUGGGCUGCUUGUCGAUGAGGGAACUUUAAGACAAAUAUUUAUGUUUUGGGUUAGAAUUGAACAAAGAUUUUGGGGAUUUCAUUAUCUUUCUUAUUUUCGCUCUCAGAUUCAGAAUCGCUAUUAACAAAUGAUAAUUUUUUCAGUCUUUAUUCUGCAUUUUCAUAUUUUUAUGCUGGUAAACUAAGGUUUGUUGUAUUUACGGUGGCCCUGUCAGUCUAAAGAGGCUACUUCACAAACGUUGGUAUCAGAAUCAGAAUAGUAUUUAUUGCCAAGUAGGUUUACACCUACCUGGAAUUUGUUCUGGUGUAUAGGUGCUUA